rnacentral:rRNA from 1 species
CAGUCGCCACGGUAAUACAGAGGAUGCAAGCGUUAUCCGGAAUGAUUGGGUGUAAAGCGUCUGUAGGUGGCUUUUCAAGUCCGCCAUCAAAUCCCCGGGCUCAACCCUGGACAGGCAGUGGAAACUACCAAGCUGGAGUACGGUAGGGGCAGAGGGAAUUUCCGGUGGAGAGGUGAAAUGCGUUGAGAUUGGAAAGAACACCAACGGUGAAAGCGCUCUGCUGGGCCGACACUGACACUGAGAGACGAAAUCUAGGGGAGCAAAUGGGAUUAGAUACCCCUGUAGUCCCUGUCUCUUAUAC